UCGCCUCCCUGGACCCCGCUCGAUGGCGGCG
rnacentral:sRNA from 1 species